rnacentral:rRNA from 1 species
CCUACGGGAGGCAGCAGUGGGGAAUAUUGCACAAUGGGGGAAACCCUGAUGCAGCAACGCCGCGUGAGUGAUGACGGCCUUCGGGGUGUAAAGCUCUGUCUUCAGGGACGAGAAUGACGGUACCUGAGGAGGAAGCCACGGCUAACGACGUGCCAGCAGCCGCGGGAAUACGUAGGUGGCGAGCGUUGUCCGGAUUUACUGGGCGUAACGGGAGCGUCGGCGGACUUUGAAGUGAGAGGUGAAAUACUCGGGCUCUACUUGAGUGCUGCAUUUCAAACUGGAAGUCUAGAGUGCAGGAGAGGGGACUGGAAUUCCUAGUGUAGCGGUGUAAUGCGUCGCGAUUAGGC